rnacentral:rRNA from 1 species
UACGUAGGGGGCAAGCGUUGUCCGGAAUCAUUGGGCGUAAAGAGCGUGUAGGCGGCUUGGCAAGUCGGAUGUGAAAGCCCUGGGCUCAACCCAGGAAGUGCACUCGAUACUGCCGAGCUUGAGUAUCGGAGAGGUUGGUGGAAUUCUCGGUGUAGAGGUGAAAUUCGUAGAUAUCGAGAGGAACACCGGCGGCGAAGGCGGCCAACUGGACGAAUACUGACGCUGAGACACGAAAGCGUGGGGAGCAAACAGG